UACAGAGGGGGCAAGCGUUGUUCGGAAUUACUGGGCGUAAAGGGCGCGUAGGCGCCUUCUAAGUCGAACGUGAAAUCCCCGGGCUCAACCCGGGAACUGCGUCCGAUACUGGAAGGCUUGAAUCCGGGAGAGGGAUGCGGAAUUCCAGGUGUAGCGGUGAAAUGCGUAGAUAUCUGGAGGAACACCGGUGGCGAAGGCGGCAUCCUGGACCAACACUGACGCUGAGUGAGCGAAAGCCAGGGGAGCAAACGGG
rnacentral:rRNA from 1 species